rnacentral:rRNA from 1 species
GACGAACGCUGGCGGCGUGCUUAACACAUGCAAGUCGAACGGAAAGGCCCUGCUUUUGUGGGGUGCUCGAGUGGCGAACGGGUGAGUAACACGUGAGUAACCUGCCCUUGACUUUGGGAUAACUUCAGGAAACUGGGGCUAAUACCGGAUAGGAGCUCCUGCUGCAUGGUGGGGGUUGGAGAGUUUCGGCGGUUGGGGAUGGACUCGCGGUUUAUCAGCUUGUUGGUGGGGUAGUGGCUUACCAAGGCUUUGACGGGUAGCCGGCCUGAGAGGGUGACCGGCCACAUUGGGACUGAGAUACGGCCCAGACUCCUACGGGAGGCAGCAGUGGGGAAUAUUGCACAAUGGGCGGAAGCCUGAUGCAGCAACGCCGCGUGCGGGAUGACGGCCUUCGGGUUGUAAACCGCUUUCGCCUGUGACGAAGCGUGAGUGACGGUAAUGGGUAAAGAAGCACCGGCUAACUACGUG